rnacentral:rRNA from 1 species
GAUGAACGCUGGCGGCGUGCCUAAUACAUGCAAGUCGAGCGAACAGACGAGGCGCUUGCUCCUCUGACGUUAGCGGCGGACGUGUGAGUCACACGUGGAUACCCUCCCUAUCAGACUGGGAUAACUUCGGGACACCGGCGCUAAUACCGUAUAAUCUCUUGCACCGCAUGGUUCAAUAGUGAAAGACGGUUUUGCUGUCACUUAUAGAUGUAUUCGCGCCGGAUUAGCUAGUUGGUCAGGUAACGGCUUACCAAGGCGACGAUGCGUAGCCGACGUGAGAGGGGGGUAGGCGACAUGGGAAGGGGAACGGGGACAAGAGGACUAAGGGAGGGAGCAGUAGGGAAUGGGCAGCAAUGGGGGAGAGCAUGACGGAGCAAGGGCGAGUGAGUGAUGAAGGCCUUGGGAUCGUAAUAAUGGGCUAUGAGGGAAGAACAAAUGUGGAAGGAAAUAUGCAGGGAGUGACGGUAACGGGUAAGGAAGCCACGGCUAACUACGUG